GUUUUAAUAGUUUAAUAAAAUAUUAAAUUGCAAAUUUAAUGAUACCUCGUGUUUAAGACU
rnacentral:tRNA from 1 species